rnacentral:misc_RNA from 1 species
GUAGGUGAACCUGCGGAAGGAUCAUUAUUGAUUGAUAAAAGGGAUGUGCUGGCAAAAUUUUAUUUUGCAUUGUGCACUCCUGAAAUCCUUCAUCCACUUGUGAACUUUUGUAGACAAAAAGUCAAUGAAAUGUUGCUUAAUUUUUGUUGCUUUUUGUUUACGAUGUGUAAUAUACGAUUAUCAGUUAUUGAAUGGGAUGAUUGGCUUAUUGAAAGUCAAAAAAUUGAUACAACUUUCAACAAUGGAUUUC